rnacentral:rRNA from 1 species
CGUGACGCAGCAACGCCGCGUGGGGGAGAAGGCCUUCGGGUUGUAAACCCCUUUCAGUUGGGACGAAGCUUCGCCGGUUAAUAGCCGGCUGGAGUGACGGUACCUUCACAAGAAGCCCCGGCUAACUACGUGCCAGCAGCCGCGGUAAUACGUAGGGGGCUAGCGUUGUCCGGAAUCAUUGGGCGUAAAGCGCGUGUAGGCGGUCCGGUAAGUCCGCUGUGAAAGUCGGGGGCUCAACCCUCGAAUGCCGGUGGAUACUGUCGGGCUUGAGUACGGAAGAGGCGAGUGGAAUUCCUGGUGUAGCGGUGAAAUGCGCAGAUAUCAGGAGGAACACCAAUUGCGAAGGCAGCUCGCUGGGACGUUACUGACGCUGAGACGCGAAAGCGUGGGGAGCAAACAGGAUUAGAUACCCUGGUAGUCCACGCUGUAAACGAUGGGCACUAGGUGUGGGGGGUGUCGACUCCCUCCGUGCCGAAGCUAACGCAUUAAGUGCCCCGCCUGGGGAGUACGGCCGCAAGGCUA